GGCUCAGAGCGAACGCUGGCGGCGUGCUUUAACACAUGCAAGUCGAACGUGAAAUGUAGCAAUACAGAGUAAAGUGGCGUACGGGUGAGUAACACGUGGGUAAUCUACCAAAGUGUCUGGAAUAACCGAUCGAAAGGUUGGCUAAUACUGGAUAGUUCAAGCUUGUUAUAAUGGCAAGAUUGGGAAAGGGAGCUGGCAACAGCCUUCGCAUUUUGAUGAGCUCGCGUCUGAUUAGUUAGUUGGUAAGGUAAUGGCUUACCAAGACGAAGAUCAGUAGCUGGUCUGAGAGGAUGAUCAGCCACACUGGAACUGAAACACGGUCCAGACUCCUACGGGAGGCAGCAGUGGGGAAUCUUGCGCAAUGGACGAAAGUCUGACGCAGCCACGCCGCGUGAGUGAAGAAGGCCUUCGGGUUGUAAAGCUCUGUCGGAGGGGACAAAACGUUUAGGGUUAAUAGCCCUAGAUCUUGAUGGUACCCUUAAAGGAAGCACCGGCUAACUUCGUG
rnacentral:rRNA from 1 species